rnacentral:rRNA from 1 species
CCCGGGGGGGGAUGCUAUACAUGCAAGUCGAGCGGAUUGAUGGGAGCUUGCUCCCUGAUAUCAGCGGCGGACGGGUGAGUAACACGUGGGUAACCUGCCUGUAAGACUGGGAUAACUCCGGGAAACCGGGGCUAAUACCGGAUAACUCAUUUCCUCGCAUGAGGAAAUGUUGAAAGGUGGCUUUUAGCUACCACUUACAGAUGGACCCGCGGCGCAUUAGCUAGUUGGUGAGGUAACGGCUCACCAAGGCAACAAUGCGUACCCGACCUGAAAGGGUGAUCGGCCACACUGGGACUGAAACACGGCCCAAACUCCUACGGGAGGCAGCAGUAGGGAAUCUUCCGCAAUGGACAAAAGUCUGACGGAGCAACGCCGCGUGAGUGAUGAAGGUUUUCGGAUCGUAAAGCUCUGUUGUUAGGGAAAAACAAGUGCCGUUCAAAUAGGGCGGCACCUUGACGGUACCUAACCAAAAAGCCACGGCUAACUACGUGCCACCAGCCGCGGUAAUACGUAGGUGGCAAGCGUUGUCCGGAAUUAUUGGGCGUAAAGCGCGCGCAGGUGGUUCCUUAAGUCUGAUGUGAAAGCCCACGGCUCAACCGUGGAGGGUCAUUGGAAACUGGGGAACUUGAGUGCAGAAGAGGAAAGUGGAAUUCCAAGUGUAGCGGUGAAAUGCGUAGAUAUUUGGAG